GGAGGGGGAUGACACAGAGAGUAGAGGGAUAGAGUCAGAGAGAGAGAGAUGGCAGGAUAAGAGAGAGGGAUAAGGCAGAGGGAAUGACACAUCCAUCCCUCCCUGACACAGGGAGAGAGAGAGAGAGAGAGAGAGAGAGAGAGAGAGAGAGAGAGAGAGAGAGAGAGGGAGAUUAUUUUGUUCCGAUUCUUUAAUAGAACCUCUUUAUCUCUGUUGCAUCUGUGCUGUUGGUGAUCUCUGACAUGGUUUCCCUCCACUGGACCCUGUGUUUCCUUCUAGCGUCGGCCAUUUUGUCUUAAUAAUAGCUUCUGUUGUUGUGAAGUCGUGUGGAACGAUGGUUUGGGUACAGAGCAGACUUUCUCUCUGAGAUUUCUGAACAACAGAGGUGGAUAAAGAUGAGACUUUCUUUUCUUCUUCUCCUCUAUCCCCGUCUCUCUCUCUCUCUCUCGUGGCUCUCUUGUGACACGGGAGGAGCAGUGGGUGGGAUCUAGGGUGAGUCAGUCAAAUUUCUGGUGUGUGUGUGUGUGUGUGUGUGUGUGUGUGUGUGUGUGUGUGUGUGUGUGUGUGUGUGUGUGUGUGUGUGUGUGUGUGUUUUCAUCUGUUAUGAUAUCUUGUAUGUUCUUAUUUCAUUUCCAGUUUGUUGUGCUAUUCUGAACCUGUUGUUACUCAUAAGAGUGACUCCCUUUCUUGGGUAGCAAACCAUCACUUUAUAAAGUAUAAAACCCUUCAUUCCAUGGUAGUAUUGUUAUCAGAAUUGUUAGUUGUUGAGAAAUUCCCACUAUAAACAUUGUAUUAUUAGCUCGGAAGGGGUCAGUUUGAACAUAUUGUACAACAGUCGAUGUCUCCAUACUAGUUACUGUAGUCAUAAAAAUGGCUCCCCAUUAAUCCACAUUGUUAGUCACGACCAACCCCUCUUAAAGAAUGUAUACAAACGUUCCUUGGAACUACUAUCAACAUUCCUUAGAAUAGCUAUUGUUAAAGGGCAUCCAAAUCAAGAUAAAGAGAAAAUUACCGGAAUUCCUAGGGACCACUACCAGAUUGGGAAGAAAUUCCUUGUUAUGAUUGCAAAAUCCCCAUCAGCAAUACAUUACCAUUUUUGGAAGGAUUCAUUUGGAACACACAUUGUACAGCAGUCAGUGUCUGCGUCCCGAAUUGCACUCUAUUCCCUUUUUUGUAAGAUUGUAUUAUUUAUUUAUUUUAUUUUUUAAACAAUACAAGACAUACAUACACAAACAACGACAUCACACCUGCCCAGACCCACCUCCUCACACACCCAUCUCCAGCGCCAGCAUCACUCUCCGCCAUACGGCCUCAAACUGCACCAACAAGAUCCCACACUGAAGGAGGGAAAAAGGGCUGCCUAAGUAUGAUUCAAAAUCAGAGACAACGAUAGACAGCUGCCUCUGAUUGGAAACCAUACUAGGCCAAUUCAAGAAAAAGACAACAUAGAAAUAUAUCACAUAGACUGCCCACCCCACACCCUGACCUAACAAAAUAGAGAAAUAAAACGUCUCUCAGGUCAAGGCGUGACAGUACCCCCCCCAAAGGUGCGGACUCCCGGCUGCAAACCUGAACCUAUAGGGGAGGGUCCGGGUGGCAUCUACCCAUGGUGGC
rnacentral:lncRNA from 1 species